CCAUGCAUGCUUUGAUUCAUAAAUGAAAUUGCGUACGGCUCAUUAGAGCAGAUAUCACCUUUCUCGGAAUCCUGAAAAGGAUAACUGCGGAAAUUCUGGAGCUAAUACAUGCGACUAUACUCCAACGCAAGGCGGGGUGCAAUUAUUAGAACAGACCAAACGUUUUCGGACGUUGUUUGUUGACUCUGAAUACCGUCGUUUACUGUCAGUUUCGACUGACUCUAUCCGAGAAGGGUGUCUGCCCUUUCAACUAGAUGGUAAUCUAUUGGACUACCAUGGUUGUUACGGGUAACGGAGAAUUAGGGUUCGACUCCGGAGAGGGAGCCUUAGAAACGGCUACCACGUCCAAGGAAGGCAGCAGGCGCGAAACUUAUCCACUGUUGAGUAUGAGAUAGUGACUAAAAAUAUAAAGACUCAUCCUUUUGGAUGAGUUAUUUCAAUGAGUUGAAUAUAAAUUAUUCUUCGAGUAGCAAGGAGAGGGCAAGUCUGGUGCCAGCAGCCGCGGUAAUUCCAGCUCUCCUAGUGUAUCUCGUUAUUGCUGCGGUUAAAAAGCUCGUAGUUGGAUCUAGGUUACGUGCCGCAGUUCGCAAUUUGCGUUAACUGUGGUCGUGACUUCUAAUUUGCUGGUUUGAGGUUGGGUUGCCCUUCAACUGCCAGCAGGUUUACCUUGAAUAAAUCAGAGUGCUCAAUACAGGCGCUUGCUUGAAUAGCUCAUCAUGGAAUAAUGAAACAGGACUUCGGUUCUUUUUGUUGGUUCUAGAAUUGAUCUAAUGGUUAAGAGGGACAAACCGGGGGCAUUCGUAUCAUUACGCGAGAGGUGAAAUUCGUGGACCGUAGUGAGACGCCCAAUAGCGAAAGCAUUUGCCAAGAAUGUCUUCAUUAAUCAAGAACGAAAGUCAGAGGUUCGAAGGCGAUUAGAUACCGCCCUAGUUCUGACCGUAAACGAUGCCAUCUCGCGAUUCGGAGGGUUCAUGCCCUACCGAGGAGCUACCCGGAAACGAAAGUCUUUC
rnacentral:ncRNA from 1 species